AGAGUUUGAUCCUGGCUCAGGAUGAACGCUGGCGGCAUGCCUAAUACAUGCAAGUCGAACGAGAGGAAGGAAAGCUUGCUUUUCUGAAUCUAGUGGCGAACGGGUGAGUAACACGUAGGUAACCUGCCCAUGUGCCCGGGAUAACUUCUGGAAACGGAUGCUAAAACCGGAUAGGUAGCAGACAAGCAUUUGACUGCUAUUAAAGUGGCCUUGGCCAUGAACAUGGAUGGACCUGCGGUGCAUUAGCUGGUUGGUGAGGUAACGGCCCACCAAGGCGACGAUGCAUAGCCGGCCUGAGAGGGCGGACGGCCACAUUGGGACUGAGACACGGCCCAAACUCCUACGGGAGGCAGCAGUAGGGAAUUUUCGUCAAUGGGGGGAACCCUGAACGAGCAAUGCCGCGUGAGUGAGGAAGGUCUUCGGAUCGUAAAGCUCUGUUGUAAGAGAAAAACGGCACUCAUAGGGAAUGAUGAGUGAGUGAUGGUAUCUUACCAGAAAGUCACGGCUAACUACGUGCCAGCAGCCGCGGUAAUACGUAGGUGGCGAGCGUUAUCCGGAAUGAUUGGGCGUAAAGGGUGCGUAGGUGGCAGAUCAAGUCUGGAGUAAAAGGUAUGGGCUCAACCCGUACUGGCUCUGGAAACUGAUCAGCUAGAGAACAGAAGAGGACGGCGGAACUCCAUGUGUAGCGGUAAAAUGCGUAGAUAUAUGGAAGAACACCGGUGGCGAAGGCGGCCGUCUGGUCUGGAUUCUGACACUGAAGCACGAAAGCGUGGGGAGCAAAUAGGAUUAGAUACCCUAGUAGUCCACGCCGUAAACGAUGAGAACUAGGUGUUGGGGGAAUAACUCAGUGCCGCAGUUAACGCAGUAAGUUCUCCGCCUGGGGAGUAUGCACGCAAGUGUGAAACUCAAAGGAAUUGACGGGGGCCCGCAC
rnacentral:rRNA from 1 species